rnacentral:rRNA from 1 species
AGAGGAAGUAAAAGUCGUAACAAGGUUUCCGUAGGUGAACCUGCGGAAGGAUCAUUAUUGAAAUAAACCUGAUGAGUUGCUGCUGGCUCUCUAGRGAGCAUGUGCACACUUGUCAUCUUUAUAUCUCCACCUGUGCACCUUUUGUAGAUCUGGAUAUCUCUCUGAGCGCUUAGCAACUCAGGUUUGAGGAUUGACUUUAUUGUCUCUCCUUACAUUUCCAGACCUAUGUUUCUUUAUAUACCCCAAUGUAUGUCAUAGAAUGUAAUUAAUGGGCCUUUGUGCCUAUAAAUCUAUACAACUUUCAGCAACGGAUCUCUUGGCUCUCGCAUCGAUGAAGAACGCAGCGAAAUGCGAUAAGUAAUGUGAAUUGCAGAAUUCAGUGAAUCAUCGAAUCUUUGAACGCACCUUGCGCUCCUUGGUAUUCUGAGGAGCAUGCCUGUUUGAGUGUCAUUAAUAUAUAUCAACCUCUACAACUUUUGUUUGUUGAGUUGUUGGAUGUGGGGGCUCUUGCUGGCUUCUCUGAGGUCAGCUCCCCUGAAAUACAUUAGCGGAACGAUCCCCGUUCAUUGGUGUGAUAACUAUCUACGCUAUUGACGUGAAGUAGUUUGGCUUAUAACAGUCCAUUGACUUGGACAAAUUUUCAUUAAUGUGACCUCAAAUCAGGUAGGACUACCCGCUGAACUUAAGCAUA